GUGGAUGGUUGGAUGUCAGGAGCAGAUGAUGUCUGUGAUUGACUGGGGGUAACUGAAAUUUUGGAAAGCGAAACUGCAGUUGCAGGCAAAUGUCAGACAUCAGCAUGCUGAACAGAGCUGGACUUCCAAGUCAUUCACUCAUGUGACUGCUCAUUGUGGCUGGCCGGUGGCUGAGAGCUCAUAUUUUUAUAACAUCUGCAAGCUACUUUUAACUGCUCUGCUGUCCCAACCCAGUGUCCCAGAUGCAGAAUGCAUGUGUCUUUCUGGAAGCACACUCAGAGGCCAUCUCAAACAUGCAGAAGGAUUUAGAAACAUUCAGAACCAUCAUCUCAGACUUCAAAUUUGGAAUUUGAUAAACCUCCCCAUGAUGGCCAUUUAUGAUAUUUCUCGUCAAAAUUCCUUCUUCUGGGAAAU
rnacentral:lncRNA from 1 species